rnacentral:siRNA from 1 species
UCGGGUCAUAACGGAGGCCUA